rnacentral:lncRNA from 1 species
AUUGCAGGACAAGGGACAGGAUUCGACACAGAGCUUCAGUUUAAAUUUGUCUAAGGAGUCAGGGCUAAGCAAUGCCUGGCAACUGUCAGAAGUAAAUGGUUACAAGGCGAACAGCCAUUCCCAAUUACUAGCAGGGGCAGCUGGAGUUGGCAUGGAAUUCAGCAGCAACAGGAGCUGUAGGACACAUGUUCUCCUUGGAUAGUGCCAUGGGCCAUUCCAAGGACCUCUGGGCACCUCUGGACAAGUGACUUCAUGGGAAGGUUCACACCACAAGCAUCACUGAGCAUGGCUGGCAUAUUUGGGAGGCUGUGUCUGGCAGAGGUUGGCCACCGUCUCGAUGCCAGCAGUCUCUCAUGACUCCAAACCUCAAAUCUGCUCUAAGCAGAAGGGAAAAGUCGGCUUGUGAGCUGAGCUUUUUGGUCCAACUGUGCUUCAGAUAAACACAGCCCGUGGCUAUUUCAGGUCUCGGUUUUAGGGAGCAGCUGUGAGGUUAUGGAAAGAGCCAAGGGGAGAACCUUGACCCAAGUGGCUGUUUCUCUGAGUGCUGGGAGAGAGGAAGCUGGGGCAUGGCCCCUCAGAGGUCAGGAGGACAUCACGGGGCUGUCCCACUGACGGGGUACAGAUGUCUCAAUUCUGGGAACCCUCUUUGCCAAGUUCUGACUCUCUAAAAAAUGGAUGUUUGAAGUUUGGAGUAAAAAAUGCUACCCUGUGAAAAGAGAGCAUUUUAUUGCAUUGAUACCUGGUGGUCUCAAAGCAGAAUAUGGGGGCCAGCAAGACGGCUAAACACUUGCCACCAAGCCUGAAGGUCGGAGUUUAGUCCCUGGGAUCCACAUGGUGGCGAGAGCCAAUUCCUUCAGUUGUUCUCUGACCUCCACACAUGUGCUUCGCCACACAUGUAAAAUAAAUAAGUAAAAUGUAAAACAAAGAAAGCUCAUUUUAAAAAAAUCAGAAUAGGGAUCUCUAAAGGUCCACCUACCCUGCAUUUUAUUGAAAUAUAUGUCUAUUACAGGAAGCCAGAUACCUAUCUGUGACUGAUAUCCAAUCUCCCCAAAUUGCCCUCUGUCCUUCUGGGGUCACUCCAGGAGAUGCUGAAUCCUGCCCGACAUGUGGGCAUGUCCCUUGCCUAAACAUCAUCUCACAGGGACACAAAUCUCACAGUCACGUCACGGCCUUCAACGCUGGGACACAAGCAGUUCAAUAUCUAUAAAGCAAGCUUAGAUAACUUCCCCCAGUGGAUUCUUACAAGUUAAACACCCAAGGUGUAAUGUGCUGCUCAGUGGCCUGGUAUGAAUAUGGUCUAGUUAAUCCCCAACACCACACACAAAAAACGACUGAACACUGAAGUCCCUUUAGUGUCCCUCAAACCCUAGCCUAUCCAUAGAAGUAGAGGGAAGCCAGCACACAAAACAAAUCCCCACCUUCUUCCUGAGGAAGCUCCCACUGCAUCCAGCUGUGGGCGCCAUCAUGGAUCUAGGGUGUGGUAUGGGCUGUCUGGGACCCGAGGGAUGGAGAACCACAAUGACAGAGAGAGUCUUCACCUUCAGAACAUGCAUGGUCCGUGGAGGGGAGGAGCAGAUCAAUUAAUCUGUGAGACGAAUAGUUAUGAAGGAUCCUGUGUGGGAGUUUGGAGGGAAGUGCCCACUAACCACAAAGUUAGGCUUCUCAAAAAUAUUAACCUUCCUGGAUCCUGAGAGAAAAAGACAGUGGGCAAUGAAGAAAGUUGCUCCCAGAAAGGAAGAAGCUCACCCAUGCAAAGGACCUGUGGCAAAUCCAUCUUAAAUAUGGAUGGGGGUUGCAGCUCCUUUAGUAUGCCAGGCAAAUAACUAUGGCAGACCCUUGACUCAGCAAACCUCACUCCCCGAGACCUGCAGGCAAAUAUCUCUCUCUAUCUAUCUAUCUAUCUAUCUCUCUCUCUCCCUCCCUCCCUCCCUCCCUCCCUCCCUCCCUCUCUCUCUCAUGGAAAACUCCUGGAAAAACCAGUACACAGAGAAUGUAGGGGCUCUUUUCCAGUAGAACCACCAGGUUUGCCCUGGCUGAAAAUCGGAAAGCAUUGGUUAUCUUGUAGCCUGCAUUUGUUGUCAAAGCUUUCUACAAUAUUAUAGUGAGAUGCCUGUACAGGAAAAAAAAAAUCUAAUUUAUUUCUCAUUGUCCAUUCUCUCAAACAUGAGGUGUUUAAUCCGAAAGAAUAGCCAAGGGCUUGAGAAGGCUUAGUAAGAAAAUUGUAGGAAAGGCAAUUCUGUGCAAUUAAGAGUAGAAAAACUGUUAUAGCAAGGAAACAUUGUACAAUAUAUUUAGGGGGGGAAGGAGUUUUAUCUUGCAAAACAAUACAGCAGUGAACUGCAUGCAUCACUACAAUGCCCCCCUGGUUGCCUUCCAUGCCAGAGAGGAAGGGGCAGUAGCUGUUUCUGCCAGGACAAGUGUGCAGCCAAUGGUGUUUGGUGAUUAUUGCAAAUUAAACAGCCCAGGAAGCAGAGGGGAGAGCAGAUAAAUCGAAGGACUUGGACUACACUUUUACAGCCUGCCGGCGCUUACCAACUUAACUUACUAGGUCUGGGGGAAAGUGUGUCUCAGUAAAUAAAAGAAAGCUGCUGCUAUUCCAGCACGAACCCUGACAUUUGCUGGCCUGAUGCAGCUUUUCUGCCUGUCUCUUCCUCAGAGCUGCUGAAUAUACAAACACACGACUUCCAUGCUGCCAGAGAUGUAGAUGUGGGCUGCCUGGCUGGUUUUAGCUGCCAUUAUGCUCCCAUAACCUUUGAUAUGUAACAUUCCCAGGAGGUACAGCAGUUCCUUACUGCCCAGCGAUCGAGAGCUAUGCCCACCAGUUUCAGGUUUGGUCUUUGGUCGGUGGAGUUGAUAAUCAUGUUUCCUUCAGUUAGUGUAAAUCACGCUAAGAGUCUGGUAUGUGCUCUAUGCUCUAUAAGGGAGAAUUCUCUCCCAUGUGAAAAUAAAGUAUCCAUGUGUGUGCAUUGUUGUACUUGAAUUGUGUGCACCAUUGUGUAUUAAUGCAUAUAGGCCACACUCAGACAUCUGCAAUGGCUUUGAAGCAUCUGAUUCCAUUUAAAUGGACUCCAUGCCCUUGGCAUGUGCUAUGUAAGUGUUUAUGAAUUUUCUAUGCAGCACUUUUACAGGUCCAUUUGUUUAUGAUGUGACAUGGUAGACAAUCGUGUUGGUUUAUGUUCUUCUUGUUUUUCAAGAAAGUAAAUGUACAUACUACUAAGCAAAUGAAUAAAUUAUUAAAAUAUAGGCUUUAUGGAUCAUGCCCACUGUUGAAAAUAAAUCUAUCUUAUUUGUUUCAUAAUGUGUCUGUCAUGAUGAUGAAAAUUUAUAUGGCCCUUAUACAUAUUGACACCAUGUAUUUAAGCUUUGUUCAAUAUUGAUGAGUGUUCCCUAAUAAAAUAUUUUAAACGUC